GGAGAGGUGGCCGAGUGGUUGAAGGCAAGCGCCUGCUAAGCGUUUGUACUGGGUGACCGGUACCCAGGGUUCGAAUCCCUGCCUCUCCG
rnacentral:tRNA from 1 species